CCUACGGGUGGCAGCAGUCGAGAAUCAUUCACAAUGGGGGAAACCCUGAUGGUGCGACGCCGCGUGGGGGAAUGAAGGUCUUCGGAUUGUAAACCCCUGUCAUGUGGGAGCAAAUUAAAAAGAUAGUACCACAAGAGGAAGAGACGGCUAACUCUGUGCCAGCAGCCGCGGUAAUACAGAGGUCUCAAGCGUUGUUCGGAAUCACUGGGCGUAAGGCGUGCGUAGGCUGUUUCGUAAGUCGUGUGUGAAAGGCGCGGGCUCAACCCGCGGACGGCACAUGAUACUGCGAGACUAGAGUAAUGGAGGGGGAACCGGAAUUCUCGGUGUAGCAGUGAAAUGCGUAGAUAUCGAGAAGAACACUCGUGGCGAAGGCGGGUUCCUGGACAUUAACUGACGCUGAGGCACGAAGGCCAGGGGAGCGAAAGGGAUUAGAUACCCCAGUAGUC
rnacentral:rRNA from 1 species